UGCCUAGCAACUCCUAUCCCUACCUCCACGCGGUACCGGCCGGAAAUUAUGAGCAACGGUGGGAACUUUGGUCGUGGGCUGACAGAGAAGG
rnacentral:ribozyme from 1 species